rnacentral:rRNA from 1 species
UACGUAGGGUGCAAGCGUUGUCCGGAAUUAUUGGGCGUAAAGAGCUCGUAGGCGGUCUGUCGCGUCGGAUGUGAAAAUCCAGGGCUCAACCCUGGACCUGCAUUCGAUACGGGCAGACUAGAGUUCGGCAGGGGGAGACUGGAAUUCCUGGUGUAGCGGUGAGAUGCGCAGAUAUCAGGAGGAACACCGGUGGCGAAGGCGGGUCUCUGGGCCGAUACUGACGCUGAGGAGCGAAAGCGUGGGGAGCGAACAGG